rnacentral:rRNA from 1 species
CCCUUAGAUGUUCUGGGCCGCACACGCGCUACACUGAAGGAGGCAGCGUGUACUCCUGGAUCGAAAGAUUUGGGUAACCCGCGAAUCUCCUUCGUGCUAGGGAUUGAGGUUUGCAAUUAUCCUUCAUGAACGAGGAAUUCCCAGUAAGUGCAAGUCAUAAGCUUGCGCUGACUACGUCCCUGCCCUUUGUACACACCGCCCGUCGCUACUACCGAUUGAAUGAUUUAGUGAGGACUUCGGACUGGGACCGAUGCGGCUUUCGGGCUGCGUCGGUAUACUGGAAAGAUGUCCAAACUGUAUCAUUUAGAGGAAGUAAAAGUCGUAACA